rnacentral:lncRNA from 1 species
CAAAAUAGUUUUUAGUGGAUAUAGAAUUGAGAGGUUUUUUAACCACUCGGGCAGUAGCCCGAGUGGCCAGGGCUGCUGCCCUCCAACUUGGAGGGCAGCAGUUCGAACCCCCACAAAAACAUUGUGGGGGUAUUUCCUUCUUCAAUUAAUUUGAGUGAAGGUAGUCUUCUCCCUUACCCAUGAGUGAGGAGUAGACAUCCCUCGAAUAUUUGUGAGGGUUAAAAUCUGGGCAGAGCUCCAUUAGCAUUGAUGUCAGUUGGUCCCAGUAAUAGUCUGAUUUGUAAAUAUCAGUAAUAGUCUCAUGUAUAUGAGUUGUAAUCUGAGCAAUAGUCUCAUGUAAUCAAAAAAAAAAAACACUAAUGGAACGCCUAGCCAAUUCUUACGUAAACAACAUGCAUAAAUAAAUUAAGUGGCAGCCAACUCACACGUAAAUUACAUGCAUAAAUUAAUUAAGCUCACAUCAUGUUAUCUACGACGAUGGGAGCCUUCUCUCCUUGUCUCGAUCACUACAAGCAACCCAGCAUCAACAUAAUCCCCGGGCACUGCUUUCACAUAAUGCAAUAUCUGGGCUUCCUAGUAGGGGUGGGCAAAAUCGGAUUCGGGUCGGGUUCGGGUUAAUUCGAUCGGGUUUCGGGUUGUUCGGGUUGGACAAAUAUUAAUCCGAAUACAACCCGAUCUUACAACCCGAUCCGAUCCGAUAUAUAUUCGGGUCGGAUCGGAUCGGGUCAAAAAAUCGGGUUGAACUCGGGUAGAAUUGGGUUAGGGUUAACAAAUCGGAUUGAGUUCGGGUUAUUUAAGUUCUAAUCGGGUUGGGUGAAAGCUUCAAAAUUAACGCUAAUUAUAUACCAUGAAAUGAAAGCUCAUUGUGGGGGUAUUUCCUUCCUCAAUUAAUUUGAGUGAAGGUAGUCUUCUCCCUUACCCAUGAGUGAGGAGUAGACAUCCCUCGAAUAUUUGUGAGGGUUAAAAUCUGGGCAGAGCUCCAUUAGCAUUGAUGUCAGUUGGUCCCAGUAAUAGUCUGAUUUGUAAAUAUCAGUAAUAGUCUCAUGUAUAUGAGUUGUAAUCUGAGCAAUAGUCUCAUGUAAUAAAAAAAAAAAGAAUUGAGAGGUUUUUUGGGAAGUUUCAACAAUCCCUCUACUUAUAAAUACUUACAGACACACUAGAAUUUAGAAGGGUAGAGUUAUAUAAUG